ACUCCUACGGGAGGCAGCAGUGGGGAAUAUUGCACAAUGGGCGCAAGCCUGAUGCAGCCAUGCCGCGUGUAUGAAGAAGGCCUCGGUUGUAAGUACUUUCUAGCAGUGAGGAAGGUGGGUAGUGUUAAUAGCAUACUCAUUUUGUACGUUUAGUCUGCAGAAGAAGCACCGGCUAACUCCGUGCCAGCAGCCGCGGUAAUACGGAGGGUGCGAGCGUUAAUCGGAAUUACUGGCGUAAAGCGCAUGCAGGUGGUUUGUUAAGUUCAGAUGUGAAAGCCGGGGCGUCAACCUCGGAAUUGCAUUUGAAACUGGCAAACUAGAGUACUGUAGAGGGGGUAGAAUUUCAGGUGUAGCGGUG
rnacentral:rRNA from 1 species